GCUUCCCUUUCCACAGUUCUAUGGAGGUGACCUCAGUCACUCCUAACGGAGCCCAGGUUCUGGAAGGGGAACCCCUGGGUCCCGGCCUGACCGGAUCUUGUAACCAGGCAGCAAGCGCGGCUCGUGAGAGAUUCCAGAAGUCGCCUGAGAACUUGGUGCCAACUGUAGCUCCCGCUUGAAAGGCCAGACCGUGUUAUUAGGAAUGCUGAGAGCCGAGUUGGGCACUCCAGCGUUCCACGGAAGGAUAGACAGUGGCUUCAGAGGAAGACAGCACAACAGAAAUCACCACUGGAUUGUCAAAGAAUAAAACAGACCACUGGAGCUAACACCCAAAUAAACAAAACAGAAGUAAAACUGAUACCUUGUCCUUCCCACAUGCUGAUCCCUAGCGAAGAACAGAUUUGUAAGAGCAUCAGGGAGAAGAGAUUGAAUGCAAACUGGAUUUGAUUGCCAGAUGAAGCUCCAGCCCAAAACAUUCAGGAGAGGGAUAUGGCUCAAGAUGAAAAUGUCCCCAGAUUUUAUUUAUUUGACAGAGAGAGAGAAA